CCUACGGUGCGCAGCAGUGAGGAAUAUUGGUCAAUGGGCGGAAGCCUGAACCAGCCAAGUCGCGUGAGGGAAUAAGGCCCUACGGGUCGUAAACCUCUUUUGCCGGGGAGCAAGGGCGGGGACGUGUCCCGGCCCGGAGAGUACUCGGAGACAAAGCAUCGGCUAACUCCGUGCCAGCAGCCGCGGUAAUACGGAGGAUGCGAGCGUUAUCCGGAUUUAUGGGGUGUAAAGGGCGUGCAGCCGGGAAGACAAGUCAGAUGUGAAAUCCCGCGGCUCAACCGCGGAACUGCAUUUGAAACUGGUUUUCUUGAGUACCGGAGAGGUCAUCGGAAUUCCUUGUGUAGCGGUGAAAUGCGUAGAUAUAAGGAAGAACACCAGUGGCGAAGGCGGAUGACUGGACGGCAACUGACGGUGAGGCGCGAAAGCGUGGGGAGCAAACAGGAUUAGAUACCCUAGUAGUC
rnacentral:rRNA from 1 species